UGGGGAAUAUUGGGCAAUGGGCGCAAGCCUGACCCAGCAACGCCGCGUGAAGGAAGAAGGCUUUCGGGUUGUAAACUUCUUUUGUCAGGGACGAAUAAAUGACGGUACUUGACGAAUAAGCCACGGCUAACUACGUGCCAGCAGCCGCGGUAAUACGUAGGUGGCAAGCGUUAUCCGGAUUUACUGGGUGUAAAGGGCGUGUAGGCGGGACUGCAAGUCAGGCGUGAAAACCAGAGGCUUAACCUCUGGCCUGCGUUUGAAACUGUAGUUCUUGAGUGCUGGAGAGGCAAUCGGAAUUCCGUGUGUAGCGGUGAAAUGCGUAGAUAUACGGAGGACACCAGUGGCGAAGGCGGAUUGCUGGACAGUAACUGACGCUGAGGCGCGAAAGCGUGGGGAGCAAACAGGGAUUAGAUA
rnacentral:rRNA from 1 species